rnacentral:rRNA from 1 species
ACGGGUGAGUAACGCGUAGGUAACCUGCCUGGUAGCGGGGGAUAACUAUUGGAAACGAUAGCUAAUACCGCAUAAAAUUGAUUAUUGCAUGAUAGUCAAUUAAAAGGUGCAAUUGCAUCACUACCAGAUGGACCUGCGUUGUAUUAGCUAGUUGGUGGGGUAACGGCUCACCAAGGCAACGAUACAUAGCCGACCUGAGAGGGUGAUCGGCCACACUGGGACUGAGACACGGCCCAGACUCCUACGGGAGGCAGCAGUAGGGAAUCUUCGGCAAUGGACAGAAGUCUGACCGAGCAACGCCGCGUGAGUGAAGAAGGUUUUCGGAUCGUAAAGCUCUGUUGUAAGAGAAGAACGAGUGUGAGAGUGGAAAGUUCACACUGUGACGGUAUCUUACCAGAAAGGGACGGCUAACUACGUGCCAGCAGCCGCGGUAACACGUAAGGUGCGAGCGUUGUUCGGAAUUAUUGGGCGUAAAGGGCAUGCAGGCGGGUCGCCAAGCUUGGUAAGAAAUACCGGGGCUCAACUCCGGAGCUAUAUUGAGAACUGGCGAGCUAGAGUUGCCGAAGGGUAUCCGGAAUUCCGUGUGAAGGGGUGAAAUCUGUAGAUAUGCGGAAGAACACCGAUGGCGAAGGCAGGAUACCGGCGGACGACUGACGCUGAGGUGCGAAGGUGCGGGGAGCAAACAGGAUUAGAUACCCU